AAUAAAUCCAAGGAAAGAUUUGAUUGCCGUUAUGGAGGCAAAAAGCAUUUUAAGUCUUCAUUUGGAUUUUAAGUCUUCAUUUAAAUUAACAUAAAAACAUCUUUGAAGGUCAAACUUUACGGCAUGGGUGUCCAACCCGCGGCCCGGGACCGAUAGCAGUGUGGCCUGUUUGCAGUCCAUGCUGCCGGGCACAGAGGGAGGAAGGGAGCCCAUUCAGUGGCGUGGGGGGCAGCAGAAGUAUAAUUACAGAGGUGGGCAAUAACGCAAAGUCAAGAUGCUCUGCCCUCACGGUGUUCUGAGCAGAAGCGCUCUGACACUCUGUGCAGGAAGCGCCGCAGCAGGAGAGUCUGGAUUCCGGAUCAGCAGGGAGCAGCAAGCAGGUGGAUGAGCAGAGUAAGUGCUUGCUAAUAUUGUGUUUUGUUUAAAAGUUUUUUUUUAGAGCAGAGUUUUUGUGAAGGGGUUUGUAGGGGGACAGUGUUUUUUUUUUUAGAGGGGGAGACAGGGUUUUUUGUAGAGGGGGCAUAGGUAUCUUUGUAGAGGGGUAGACAGGAGUCUUUGUAGACGGGGCAGGAGUUUUUGUGAAUGGGAGUGGAGGGGGUGGGCAAAGGUCAUGAAGAGGGGGUGAGCAGGGUUUAUUGUAGAGGGGGGACUGGG